rnacentral:rRNA from 1 species
UGACCUCGGAUCAGGUAGGGAUACCCGCUGAACUUAAGCAUAUCAAUAAGCGGAGAAGCUUACCGAGUGCGGGUCCUUUUGGGCCAACCUCCAUCCGUGUCUAUUGUAACCUGAUUGCUUCGGCGGACCCGCCCUUUUCAACUCCGGGGGGGGGCGCCUCUCCUCCGCCCCUGCCCCGGAAACCCAACACAACAAUGUCUGAAAGCNUGAGAUCGAAGUUGAUUUGAAAUGGCAAAUCGUUUAAAACUUUUUAACAAUGGGAUUCUCUUGGGUUCGGCAUCAAUGAAAAAAAGCACGAAAAUGCGAUAACUAAUGUGAAAUUUGCAAAAUUUCUUGAAAUUAUCAGCUCUUUGAAACCACUUUGGCCCCCGGGAAAUUCCGGGGGGGGAUGCCUGGCCCAAACUUAUUUGCGCCCCACGCGGGGUUUGGGUGUUU